AAGAAACAUGAGUUAAAGUGACUUCCACAGGGUUCACAUAGAAAUGGAACUGGAACUCAGAUAUCCUGAGUUAAUGUCCAUGUUCUUUACACCACAGAGCAGUCUCUGGAUAGAAGAUCCACAUGUACAGACAAAAUAUUUUUCAUGUCUCACAGUGACCAGCAUUUGUAAUAACAGUGGAGAUGGAAAAACCUGAAGUGGCUUGUGUUCCUCUUCCUCCCUCCCCAGGCUCAGCUAAUACCUCGAUCACCCACAGUGGAGGUGAGAGCCUGCCCGCUCUCUAACACUUCUGUGGCCCAGACUAUCCCCACAUCUUACCUUUUGCUCCAGCUCUUUCCUGGCUGUCAGUUCCGAGUCCAGCCUCUCCUCGCAUUGCUGCAGACGCUUUCUGAGGAACUCGUUCUCCAUCUGAGCACAGUCGAAGCGCAUUUGCCACUCGUCUGCUGUUUAACGGAGUCAGGGAGACCAGGAUAAAAGACCAAAUGAGUACCCCUGAUCUCCAUAAGUGUCCCUGACAUUUCAAGGGCACAAAUUCUCUGGACACACGGAGGGAAUAAUGCUGACAUUUUAUAGAAGCUGACCCACUGGAUAUCCUUCUCACCCAACUCCAUUAGGCUAGGGAGAGUAAGAGGCAUGGUGACAAGGUGGCAAAGAUGUCACCAUGCCAUCCAAUCACGAGGUCUCCAGGAAACUGUAUAAGAAGGACACCCCCAGAAACUCCUGGCACUACUGAA
rnacentral:antisense_RNA from 1 species